rnacentral:rRNA from 1 species
UGGGGAAUAUUGCACAAUGGGCGCAAGCCUGUUGCAGCGACGCCGCGUGGGGGAUGACGGCCUUCGGGUUGUAAACUCCUUUCGCUAGGGACGAAGCUUUUUGUGACGGUACCUAGAUAAGAAGCACCGGCUAACUACGUGCCAGCAGCCGCGGUAAUACGUAGGGUGCGAGCGUUGUCCGGAAUUACUGGGCGUAAAGGGCUCGUAGGUGGUUUGUCGCGUCGUCUGUGAAAUUCCGGGGCUUAACUCCGGGCGUGCAGGCGAUACGGGCAUAACUUGAGUACUGUAGGGGUAACUGGAAUUCCUGGUGUAGCGGUGAAAUGCGCAGAUAUCAGGAGGAACACCGAUGGCGAAGGCAGGUUACUGGGCAGUUACUGACGCUGAGGAGCGAAAGCAUGGGUAGCGAACAGG